UUAUUAAUAUGAGAAGGGAUGAUGGGUGGACGAUGAUUAACUAAUCUUAUUUUUAACGUUUGAAAUCGGAUAUUUCAAAUCAGAAAAAAUAGGAUUAGUCUGCCCAUUUUCUAUAAAUGACAUAGCUAUUGAAAAAUAGCUUAUUUGAUGAUGUACAGGUACGGCUAAUCCUUCCAAAUCAAUUGGGAGGAUUUUUUU
rnacentral:sRNA from 1 species